rnacentral:rRNA from 1 species
CCUACGGGUGACAGCAGUGGGGAAUAUUGGGCAAUGGGCGCAAGCCUGACCCAGCAACGCCGCGUGAAGGAAGAAGGCUUUCGGGUUGUAAACUUCUUUUCUCAGGGACGAAGAAAGUGACGGUACCUGAGGAAUAAGCCACAGCUUACUACGUGCCAGCCGCCGCGGUAAUACGUAGGUGGCAAGCGUUCUCCGGAUUUAUUGGGUGUAAAGGGCGUGUAGGCGGGAGAGCAAGUCAGAAGUGAAAACUCAGGGCUCAACCCUGAGCCUGUAUUUGAAACUGGGUUUCUUGAGUGCUGGGGAGGCAAUCGGAAUUCCGGAUGUAGCGGUGAAAUGCGUAG